rnacentral:rRNA from 1 species
UUUAAUUGAAGAGUUUGAUCAUGGCUCAGAUUGAACGCUGGCGGCAGGCUUAACACAUGCAAGUCGAGCGGUAGCACAGGGGAGCUUGCUCCCUGGGUGACGAGCGGCGGACGGGUGAGUAAUGUCUGGGAAACUGCCUGAUGGAGGGG